rnacentral:rRNA from 1 species
UACGUAGGGUGCGAGCGUUGUCCGGAAUUAUUGGGCGUAAAGAGCUCGUAGGCGGCCUGUCACGUCGGAUGUGAAAACCCGGGGCUCAACCCCGGGCCUGCAUUCGAUACGGGCAGGCUGGAGUUCGGCAGGGGAGACUGGAAUUCCUGGUGUAGCGGUGAAAUGCGCAGAUAUCAGGAGGAACACCGGUGGCGAAGGCGGGUCUCUGGGCCGAUACUGACGCUGAGGCACGAAGGCCAGGGGAGCAAACGGG